rnacentral:sRNA from 1 species
CCUCGCGGGCCGCGCCCCGCCGCGGACACCACCCGGACCCGGCUGCGACCUCCCGACCCCGGCCGGGCGUCCGGGGCUCCUGCGCACUCACUUGGCGGCCGCGCCCGCUUGCGUCCUCUUGUUCUCUUCCAGAUUCAGCGAUUACCAGCUCAUGGCCUGGGCCACUGCUUCUCUGUCCUCAUUCACUUCCCUCCACUGCUGGGUCAUUUUGAAGCAAAUUAUAUACACAUUAGAUCAUUGCAUUUGCACCCAAAAAGAAAGGGAAGAAAGGCAAAGCCAAAGGCACCCCGAUUGUCGAUGGGCUCGCUCCAGAGGACAUGAGCAAGGAGCAGGUGAAGUUGAGUCCUCCCUCUUUCUUCCUUGCCUUUCUCCGGCCACACGCCCCGUUGCCGUGCAUGGGCCCCUGCUCAGUGCCUCACCUGACCCACUGCACCUGGCCAGGUGGAGGAGCAUGUCAGCCGCAUCCGGGAGGAGCUGGACCGUGAGCGGGAGGAACGAAACUACUUCCAGCUGGAGCGGGACAAGAUCCACACCUUCUGGGAGAUCACA